rnacentral:tRNA from 1 species
GGGAGUUUGACUCAAUUGGUAGAGUAGUUCGCUUACAACGAGAAGGUUAGUGGUUCGAGUCCGCUAACUCCCA